CUCAAAUAUUCUCCUUUGAAUCGCAGCCUGAACUGAUGUUGACUCUUGCCCAGUUCAUACAAGAUGUGCAGUAGAUAAGCUCUGGCUCUUGCAAUUGUAUCAUAAGGGUUGCACACCAGAGUGAAUGUCUUGAACUGAAUAAGCAAAUAAGACCCAGGGUAAGGACUAAGGAUAGCUAGAUCACCCUACUAUAACACUUGAUUACAGUACAAUAAAACAACCUUUCCAGUUCACUUUUUAUACACUUAA